AAGUCUGAUGGAGCAACGCCGCGUGAGUGAAGAAGGGUUUCGGCUCGUAAAACUCUGUUGUUAAAGAAGAACUAUCUGAGAGUAACUGUUCAGGUAUUGACGGUAUUUAACCAGAAAGCCACGGCUAACUACGUGCCAGCAGCCGCGGUAAUACGUAGGUGGCAAGCGUUGUCCGGAUUUAUUGGGCGUAAAGCGAGCGCAGGCGGUUUUUUAAGUCUGAUGUGAAAGCCUUCGGCUCAACCGAAGAAGUGCAUCGGAAACUGGGGAACUUGAGUGCAGAAGAGGACAGUGGAACUCCAUGUGUAGCGGUGAAAUGCGUAGAUAUAUGGAAGAACACCAGUGGCGAAGGCGGCUGUCUGGUCUGUAACUGACGCUGAGGCUCGAAAGUAUGGGUAGCAAACAGGAUUAGAUACCCUGGUAGUCCAUACCGUAAACGAUGAAUGCUAAGUGUUGGAAGGUUUCCGCCCUUCAGUGCUGCAGCUAACGCAUUAAGCAUUCCGCCUGGGGAGUACGGCGCAAGGCUGAAACUCAAAGGAAUUGACGGGGGCCCGCACAAGCG
rnacentral:rRNA from 2 species